CCGAUGAGGAAAGAGCUGUUAGCUGAUAUGUGAUGAGAGGAUGGCUGACCGAGG
rnacentral:snoRNA from 1 species